rnacentral:rRNA from 1 species
CGAACUAUUCUUCGCACGUUGAAAGUACACUAUCCCAUCCGAACUGGCAGGUUAAGUAACGUUGGCCUUGGCUAGUACUUGACGGGAGACGGCUUGGGAAUCCCACGUGCGUGUCAC